rnacentral:rRNA from 1 species
AGCGAACGCUGGCGGCAGGCCUAACACAUGCAAGUCGAACGAAGUCUUCGGACUUAGUGGCGGGCGGGUGAGUAACACGUGGGAACGUACCUUUUGGUUCGGAACAACUCAGGGAAACUUGAGCUAAUACCGGAUGAGCCCUUAGGGGGAAAGAUUUAUCGCCGAAAGAGCGGCCCGCGUUAGAUUAGCUAGUUGGUGAGGUAAAGGCUCACCAAGGCUACGAUCUAUAGCUGGUCUGAGAGGAUGAUCAGCCACACUGGGACUGAGACACGGCCCAGACUCCUACGGGAGGCAGCAGUGGGGAAUCUCGCGCAAUGGGCGAAAGCCUGACGCAGCCAUGCCGCGUGAAUGAUGAAGGUCUUAGGAUUGUAAAAUUCUUUUACCAGGGACGAUAAUGACGGUACCUGGAGAAAAAGCCCCGGCUAACUUCGUGCCAGCCGCCGCAGUAAAAC